rnacentral:rRNA from 1 species
UACGUAGGGUGCGAGCGUUGUCCGGAAUUACUGGGCGUAAAGAGCUCGUAGGUGGUUUGUCGCGUUGUCCGUGAAAACUCACAACUCAAUUGUGGGCGUGCGGGCGAUACGGGCAGACUGGAGUACUGCAGGGGAGACUGGAAUUCCUGGUGUAGCGGUGGAAUGCGCAGAUAUCAGGAGGAGCACCGGUGGCGAAGGCGGGUCUCUGGGCCGAUACUGACGCUGAGGAGCGAAAGCGUGGGGAGCAAACAGG